AACGAACGCUGGCGGCAUGCCUAACACAUGCAAGUCGAACGGGAUCCUGGUUUCGGCCAGGUGAGAGUGGCGGACGGGUGAGUAACGCGUGGGAACCUGCCCAGUGGUGGGGGAUAACUGCGGGAAACUGCAGCUAAUACCGCAUGAGCCCGCAAGGGGAAAGAUUGAUCGCCAUUGGAGGGGCCCGCGUUCGAUUAGGUAGUUGGUGAGGUAACGGCUCACCAAGCCUACGANCGAUAGCUGGUCUGAGAGGAUGAUCAGCCACACUGGGACUGAGAUACGGCCCAGACUCCUACGGGAGGCAGCAGUGGGGAAUAUUGGACAAUGGGGGCAACCCUGAUCCAGCAAUGCCGCGUGAGGGAUGACGGCCU
rnacentral:rRNA from 1 species